UAGAAUAAAAAAUAAAAAGACAUACUUUGAAAUGAGUUUCUCUUUUAAAAUAAAUGUGCAUUCUUGGUGUCAGAUGACUUCCGUCAGGGCUAUUAGAAUUCAUGAAAGCCUUGCUACCUACAUUGAUCUUCACGACAAAACGAAUAAAAACCUUCAUCCCAUUUUUCACUAGAGAAGUUAGCUCCUGUGAAAAUAUUCUCACCACUUUCUGAAAGCAUUUAGAGCAGAGUUUCAGAAAACAGCAACCUUCAUCAAGAUUUGCAAAUGCCUGUUUCCCUAGAAGCAACACUUGCUGACUCUUAAAAGAAAACACUUUAUUCUAAAAACAUAUUUAAAAUUCGACUUAUCAGCCUCCAUAUUACAUAAAGUCUGUUGAUUCGUCUCUCACUGACUUUGGUAUGAUUUGAUUUUUGUUGUUGUUGAAUUGGUGGUUUGGGUGUUUGCACUGGGGUGUGUUAAGACUGUAGCCCCUUAUAAAAUACCUCACAGGGAGUGUAGGAUCACGCAUUUCACACUUUAUGUAACUCAACUCAGCAUCCAGUCCAGUGUUUGCAAAUGAUGUUUAGUCAUUUUGUUACUUACCCAGUUAUAAUUCACUGUUGGUUUU
rnacentral:lncRNA from 10 species